rnacentral:rRNA from 1 species
UGUAGCAAUACAAGGCAGACGGCUCAGUAACGCGUAGUCAACCUACCCUAUGGACGGGGAUAACCUCGGGAAACUGAGAAUAAUACCCGAUAGAACAUUAUACCUGGAAUGGUUUAUGUUUCAAAUAAUUUAUUGCCGUAGGAUGGGACUGCGGCCUAUCAGUUUGUUGGUGAGGUAAUGGCCCACCAAGACUAUUACAGGUACGGGCUCUGAGAGGAGUAGCCCGGAGAUGGGUACUGAGACACGGACCCAGGCCCUAUGGGGCGCAGCAGGCGAGAAAACUUUGCAAUGUGCGAAAGCACGACAAGGUUAAUCCGAGUGGUUUCUGCUAAAGGAACCUUUUGUCAGUCCUAGAAACACUGAUGAAUAAGGGGUGGGCAAGUUCUGGUGUCAGCCGCCGCGGUAAAACCAGCACCUCAAGUGGUCAGGAUGAUUAUUGGGCCUAAAGCAUCCGUAGCCUGCUUUGUUAGUUUUCGGUUAAAUCCAUACGCUUAACGUAUGGGCUGCCGGGAAUACUGCAAAGCUAGGGAGUGGGAGAGGUAGACGGUACUCGGUAGGAAGGGGUAAAAUCCUUUGAUCUAUUGAUGACCACCUGUGGCGAAGGCGGUCUACCAGAACACGUCCGACGGUGAGGGAUGAAAGCUGGGGGAGCAAACCGGAUUAGAUACCCGGGUAGUCCCAGCUGUAAACUAUGCAAACUCGGUGAUGCAUUGGCUUGAUGCCAAUGCAGUGCCGCAGGGAAGCCGUUAAGUUUGCCGCCUGGGAAGUACGUACGCAAGCAUGAAACUUAAAGGAAUUGGCGGGGGAGCACCACAAGGGGUGAAGCCUGCGGUUCAAUUGGA